rnacentral:rRNA from 1 species
GACAGAGGGUGCAAACGUUGUUCGGAAUUACUGGGCGUAAAGCGUGUGUAGGCGGCCACGUAAGUCGGAUGUGAAAGCCCCAGGCUCAACCUGGGAAGUGCACUCGAUACUGCGUGGCUUGAGUAUCGGAGAGGUUGGUGGAAUUCCCGGUGUAGCGGUGAAAUGCGCAGAUAUCGGGAGGAACACCAAUGGCGAAGGCAGCUCGCUGGGACGUGACUGACGCUGAGACGCGAAAGCGUGGGGAGCAAACAGG